UGGGGAAUAUUGGACAAUGGGCGCAAGCCUGAUCCAGCAAUGCCGCGUGUGUGAAGAAGGCCUUCGGGUUGUAAAGCACUUUUAUCAGGAGCGAAACGCUGUCGGCUAAUACCCGGCGGAACUGACGGUACCUGAGGAAUAAGCACCGGCUAACUUCGUGCCAGCAGCCGCGGUAAUACGAAGGGUGCAAGCGUUAAUCGGAAUUACUGGGCGUAAAGCGUGCGUAGGCGGUUUCUUAAGUCUGCUGUGAACUCCCCGGGCUCAACCUGGGAAUGGCAGUGGAUACUGGGAGGCUAGAGUGUGUCAGAGGGUGGUGGAAUUCCCGGUGUAGCGGUGAAAUGCGUAGAGAUCGGGAGGAACAUCAGUGGCGAAGGCGGCCACCUGGGACAACACUGACGCUGAGGCACGAAAGCGUGGGGAGCAAACAGGAUUAGAUACCCUGGUAGUCCACGCCCUAAAGCGAUGCGAACUGGAUGUUGGUCUCAACUCGGAGAUCAGUGUCGAAGCUAACGCGUUAAGUUCGCCGCCUGGGGAGUACGGU
rnacentral:rRNA from 1 species